rnacentral:rRNA from 1 species
GAAAAGAACUUUGAAGAGAGAGUUCAAGAGUACGUGAAACCGCUUAGGGGUAAACGGAAAAGACCUAAAUAUCCGAAAGGGGAGAUUCACGUCUUACCAUUUGCUCAGCUUUUAAAUGUUUAGAGAUGGUCUUUCGCCCUAUCCGGUUAUUUACUGUGAUAGUGGGUUUGGUCGCUCGCAUUUAAUUUGCUAGAGUAAUGGUGGACCGCACUUCUCCCUUAGUAGGACGUUGCGACCUGUUAAAUAAUACUUUAAGUAUGAUUAAAACGUCUGUUUUUAAAAUAUAUUGAAAAAUAUGCUUUAAUUAUAGUUUUAAUCAAAUAUAUAUAGAGUGUUUUUUAUUUUAACAGUAACAAAUGAUGGUGUUGAGCCACUUGAAAUUAUUAAUUUUUUUUUUUUUUAAUUAAUUAAAGGAAAGAGUCUUUUUUGUCAUUUUUACAAGUGGGCUGAUUUUUAGUAUUGGUCGGACUUUAUGGUCCGUCUUACUAUAUCUCCUACUGUUAGUAAAUUUUGACUUAGACAGUGCUUACAACACC